rnacentral:tRNA from 1 species
GGGGGGCUGGCGCAACGGUAGCGCGGUAAGUUACCACAAGAUAUCAUAUCAGAAAUAAUCCAUCUAAUUCCCUCAUUAGUCAGAUUCCAGUACACCGGAAUCUCCUGAAGGUUAAGGGUUCAAAUCCCUUGUCCCUCA